UAGUCCACGCCGUAAACGUUGGGCGCUAGGUGUGGGGGCCAUUCCACGGUCUCCGUGCCGCAGCUAACGCAUUAAGCGCCCCGCCUGGGGAGUACGGCCGCAAGGCUAAAACUCAAAGGAAUUGACGGGGGCCCGCACAAGCGGCGGAGCAUGUUGCUUAAUUCGAUGCAACGCGAAGAACCUUACCUAGGCUUGACAUGCACGGAAAUCUCGCAGAGAUGCGGGGUGCCUUUGGCGUCGUGCAC
rnacentral:rRNA from 1 species